UUUUAUGGAGAGUUUGAUCCUGGCUCAGAGUGAACGCUGGCGGCGUGCCUAAUACAUGCAAGUCGAACGAUGAAGCUUCUAGCUUGCUAGAAGUGGAUUAGUGGCGCACGGGUGAGUAAGGUAUAGUUAAUCUGCCCUACACAAGAGGACAACAGUUGGAAACGACUGCUAAUACUCUAUACUCCUGCUUAACACAAGUUAAGUAGGGAAAGUUUUUCGGUGUAGGAUGAGACUAUAUAGUAUCAGCUAGUUGGUAAGGUAAUGGCUUACCAAGGCUAUGACGCUUAACUGGUCUGAGAGGAUGAUCAGUCACACUGGAACUGAGACACGGUCCAGACUCCUACGGGAGGCAGCAGUAGGGAAUAUUGCGCAAUGGGGGAAACCCUGACGCAGCAACGCCGCGUGGAGGAUGACACUUUUC
rnacentral:rRNA from 1 species